GUAAAAAUCAAUUCUAGAAUGAGAAGCUACAAUUUCUAGCUUCAAGUAGAAUCAAUUCUGGAGGCAGAAUCAAUUCUACUUUUGAGAAACCAAACAAGCCAGAAUCAAUUCUACAGGUCUAGAAUCAAUUCUGGCUACUCCAGAAUUGAAACCAAACAUACGCUAAGCGUGUGUUUGGUUCUGCGGCGGAGAGAAUUGAUUUUGGCAGAAUUGAUUCUGUAAAAUUGAUUCUGGCCAAAAUUGAUUUUAAGCUGAGGUGGUUUAUGUUUGGAUAUAUUCAUGAAAAAGUGAGUUGAACAAAAAAUUUGAGUGUAAAAAUCAAUUCUAGAAUCAGAAGCUACGAUUUCUAGCUUCAAGUAGAAUCAAUUCUGGAGGCAGAAUCAAUUCUACUUUUGAGAAACCAAACAAGUCAGAAUCAAUUCUACACGUCCAGAAUCAAUUCUGGAUGCUCCAGAAUUGAAACCAAACAUACACUAAGUAGUUGAAAAAUAGCUUCACCCAUAAUCUCGUGGUCAUAAUGUCUGAUUUGAGUUGUUUGUGAUCAUAAUCUCGUGCCAUGUCUGCAUGCAAUCAACUAUAUUUUCAUGAUCGUUUGAUAAAGUUUGGACGGUCUUGAUUUCAAACUCGUAUUUUAGAUUUUAAAAUACGGAUUUCUAAAUUUU
rnacentral:lncRNA from 1 species